UACGGAGGAUCCAAGCGUUAUCCGGAAUCAUUGGGUUUAAAGGGUCCGUAGGCGGUUUAGUAAGUCAGUGGUGAAAGCCCAUCGCUCAACGGUGGAACGGCCAUUGAUACUGCUAGACUUGAAUUAUUAGGAAGUAACUAGAAUAUGUAGUGUAGCGGUGAAAUGCUUAGAUAUUACAUGGAAUACCAAUUGCGAAGGCAGGUUACUACUAAUUGAUUGACGCUGAUGGACGAAAGCGUGG
rnacentral:rRNA from 1 species